rnacentral:rRNA from 1 species
UAAACUAGGAUUAGAUACCCUACUAUUAUAAAUGUAAAUUGAUAAACCAGAGUAGUAUUAGUUAUGUGCUUGAAAUUAAAAGAAUUUGGCGGUGUUUUAUUUCUAAUCAGAGGAACCUGUUCUGUAAUUGAUAAUCCACGGUUAAUUGUACUUGUGUUAAAAGCUUGUAUACCGUCGUAGUCCGAGUAUUUUAAAAGAAUUUAAUAUUCAAGAUUUAAAAUUAAAAAAUAAAUCAGAUCAAGGUACAGUUUAUACAUAAGAAGAAAUGGGUUACGUUGAAAUUAUUCAAAUGUGUUAACUAUUGUAAAUAGUUAACAAAAUGGAUUUGAUAGUAAUAAAAUUUAUUUUAAUUUUAUGAUUUAGUUCUGAAACAUGUACAUAUCGCCCGUCACUCCCACCUCCAAAGUGGGAUAAGUCGUAACAUAGUAGGCGUACUGGAAAGUGCGCCUGGAUUGCCAAAUCAGAGCUUGUAAGAAAGCAUUUUAUUUACAUUAAAAAGUUAAUUGUGAAAAUCAAUUUGAUUUGAAUUUAGUAAAUUAUUAUUUUUAUUUUAAAAAAAAUAAUUUUUAGUUUUAUUAUUUUUAUUGAAACAAUAUUUUUAAUUAUAGUUUAUUAGUAUAGUGAUAGAAAUUUAUUUAAAUAUGUAAAAGAAAAAUUCAAUUUUUGUACCUUGUGUAUCAGGGUUUAUUAAUCAAAAUUUAAUUAUAUUAAAUUUCUCGAUUUUAAAAGAGCUAAGAAAUUAUUAAUUUUACUGUUGAAUAAGUACUUAUAAUAAUUUUUUUGUAAUGAAACGUUAGUCGUUUUUAAUUAUAUCUAGUUUUUUGAGAAAUAAAUUUAAUUUAGUUGUUUAAAUUUAUUAAGUUAAUUUAUUAACUUAAUAUUAUUAAGCAUGAAAUUUUUAGGGGGAUAAGCUUCUAUGAAUACACUUAUAAAUAUUAGAUUUUAUUAAAUAUCUAUAGGAUUAAAAAUGUCCAUUAUUAAUAGUAUGUUACAAUUAAUAUUUUUAUGAAUAUAAUUUAUAAUCAAUUUUAAGUUUUUUAUCAAAAUAAUUUAAUUAAUAGUAAAUUAAAUGAAAUAAUGAUAAAAUUAGUAUAAAUUCAAUGUAUUUUUAAUUUGCAUUUGAAAGGUUAAGUUAAGGAAUUCGGCAAUUCUUUUUUCCGCCUGUUUAUUAAAAACAUGGCCUUUUGAUUAUAAUUUAAGGUCUAGCCUGCCCACUGAUUAUUUAAAUGGCCGCGGUAUUUUGACCGUGCAAAGGUAGCAUAAUAAUUAGCUUUUUAAUUGAAAGCUGGAAUGAAUGGUUGAACGAGAAAAAGUGUCUCUAUUUAAUUUUUUUAGAAUUUUAUUUUUGAGUUAAAAAGCUCAAAUGAUUUUGAAAGACGAGAAGACCCUAUAGAGUUUAAUAUUAAUUAAGUUUAUGUUAAUUUGAAGGAUUAUUUAUUAAUAUUGAUUUAAAAAUAUUUGGUUGGGGUGAUUAGAAAAUUGAAUCAACUUUUCUUAAAGUGUUAACAUUAAUUUAUGUUUGAUUGAUCCAUUUAUUAUGAUUAAAAGAAUAAAUUACCUUAGGGAUAACAGCGUUAUUUUUCUUGAGAGUUCUUAUCGAAAGAAAAGUUUGCGACCUCGAUGUUGGAUUAAAAUUUACUUUUGGUGCAGCAGCUAGAAAGUUAGGUCUGUUCGACCUUUAAAAUUUUACAUGAUCUGAGUU